rnacentral:rRNA from 1 species
UUAUACCAGUAUUAAUGUCACGCCUGCCCAGUGAAUUAAAUUUUAACGGCCGCGGUAUCCUAACCGUGCAAAGGUAGCGCAAUCACUUGUUCUUUAAAUAAGGACUAGUAUGAACGGCACCAUGAGGAUCCACUUGUCUCUCAUAAUAAGCCUAUGAAACUGAUCUUCCAGUACAAAAGCUGGAAUAAACACACAAGACGAGAAGACCCUGUGGAGCUUCAAACCAAACUCACCAUACAUGAGCUGCGGUUUUUAGUUGGGGCGACUCUGGAGCAAAACAAAACCUCCAAACUUUACAUCCUUAGGCCAACAUGCCACCAUUAACCCCCCCCACGACCCAAUAUAAUUGAAUAAUGAACCAAGUUACCCCAGGGAUAACAGCGCCAUCUUCUUCUAGAGUCCCUAUCGCCAAGAAGGUUUACGACCUCGAUGUUGGAUCAGGGUACCCAAAUGGUGCAGCCGCUAUUAAAGGUUCGUUUGUUCAACGAUUAACAACCCUACGUGAUCUGAUUUCAGACCGGA